rnacentral:misc_RNA from 1 species
CCUUGUAAAAAUAUUUUUAUUUUAAUAUUAACAGAAAUAUUAAUAGUGUUAAAAAUCACUAUCAUAUGCAUUAUAAAAAGGAUAGUAUUAUUUAAGAGUAGCAAAUAUUUUAAGACAUAUUUAUAUUGAGAGAGACAAUCCUACACUGGUUUAGGAAAAGGAUAAUGUCCCCUUAUAUGGCCUUAGGCACUUCUCUCCUUAAGCUAGCUUUUGAGGUGAUCCUUAAGCUAGCUUUUGAGGUGAGUUAGAUCUGACCCAUUUUCUUAAGACAGUAUCAAAGUCUUCCCAAUCAAUAUUUAGGCCUCCCAUAAGCAUUUCACACUCUAGAUGUUCGGUUCUAAGUGUGAGGGAGGGUCUGUUAAAAUUCCACGUUAAUUUGAGAUAGGGAUAAUGUGCCUCUUAUAUGGUCUUGAAUAUUUCUCUCCCAUUGAGUUAGUUUUUAGGAGCAAGUUAGACCGGCCCAUUUUCUUUAACACAAUAUAUAUACUCUUAUAUAUGCACAACUGAAAAUGGGAAAAAAAAAAAUUAAA